GGCUUUUUGAGUUUAAUUUAAAGUUUGGCCUGCCCACUGAAUAUUUAAAGGGCCGCGGUAAAUUAACCGUGCAAAGGUAGCAUAAUCAUUAGUUUYUUAAUUAGAAGCUGGAAUGAAUGGUUGGAUGAGAGAAUGACUGUCUAGUUUUAAUUUAAAUGAAUUUUAUUUUUAAGUUAAAAAGCUUAAAUUUUAUUAAAAGACGAGAAGACCCUAUAGAUUUUUAUAUUAUUCUAAAUUUUAAAUUUUAAGUAUUAUAAAUUUAAUUAUUAGGUUAUAUUUGAUUGGGGUGAUUGGAAAAUUUAAUAAACUUUUUUAUUAAAGAAUACAUUAAUUUAUGAAUUUAUUGAUCCAAAAUUUUUGAUUAUAAGAUUAAAUUACCUUAGGGAUAACAGCGUUAUUUUUUAUAAGAGUUCAAAUCGAAUAAGAAGAUUGCGACCUCGAUGUUGGAUUAAAAUAAAGUUUUGGUGUAGAAGCUAAAAUGUUAGGUCUGUUCGACCUUUAAAAUUUUACAUGA
rnacentral:rRNA from 1 species